AGUUGGGCACUCUAGCGAGACUGCCGGUGACAAACCGGAGGAAGGUGGGGAUGACGUCAAAUCAUCAUGCCCCUUAUGACCUGGGCUACACACGUGCUACAAUGGGAAGUACAACGAGUCGCUAGACCGCGAGGUCAUGCAAAUCUCUUAAAGCUUCUCUCAGUUCGGAUUGCAGGCUGCAACUCGCCUGCAUGAAGCCGGAAUCGCUAGUAAUCGCGGAUCAGCACGCCGCGGUGAAUACGUUCCCGGGCCUUGUACACACCGCCCGUCACACCACGAGAGUUUGUAACACCCGAAGUCGGUGAGGUAACCUUUUUGGAGCCAGCCGCCUAAGGUGGGAUAGAUGAUUGGGGUGAAGUCGUAACAAGGUAGCCGUAUCGGAAGGUGCGGCUGGAUCACCUCCUUU
rnacentral:rRNA from 1 species